rnacentral:rRNA from 1 species
GACGAACGCUGGCGGCGUGCUUAACACAUGCAAGUCGAACGGAAAGGCCCUGCUUUUGUGGGGUGCUCGAGUGGCGAACGGGUGAGUAACACGUGAGUAACCUGCCCUUGACUUUGGGAUAACUUCAGGAAACUGGGGCUAAUACCGGAUAGGAGCUCCUGCUGCAUGGUGGGGGUUGGAAAGUUUCGGCGGUUGGGGAUGGACUCGCGGCUUAUCAGCUUGUUGGUGGGGUAGUGGCUUACCAAGGCUUUGACGGGUAGCCGGGCGGAGGGGGUGGCCGGCCACAGGGGGGCGGGGAGACGCCCCAGCCUCCUGCGGGAGGCAGCGGUGGGGAUUAUUGCACGGGGGGCGGACGCCUGAUGCAACACCGCGGGGUGGGGGAUGGCGUCCUGCGUGUUGUACACCGCUUGCGCCUGUGACGAAGGGGGUGACACUGUAAGGGGUAAAGACACCCCGUCAAACCACG